rnacentral:rRNA from 1 species
AUUGAACGCUGGCGGCAUGCCUUACACAUGCAAGUCGAACGGCAGCGCGGACUUCGGUCUGGCGGCGAGUGGCGAACGGGUGAGUAAUACAUCGGAACGUACCCUGUUGUGGGGGAUAACUAGUCGAAAGAUUAGCUAAUACCGCAUACGACCUGAGGGUGAAAGUGGGGGACCGCAAGGCCUCACGCAGCAGGAGCGGCCGAUGUCUGAUUAGCUAGUUGGUGGGGUAAAGGCCCACCAAGGCGACGAUCAGUAGCUGGUCUGAGAGGACGAUCAGCCACACUGGGACUGAGACACGGCCCAGACUCCUACGGGAGGCAGCAGUGGGGAAUUUUGGACAAUGGGGGCAACCCUGAUCCAGCAAUGCCGCGUGUGUGAAGAAGGCCUUCGGGUUGUAAAGCACUUUUGUCCGGAAAGAAAUCGCGCUGGUUAAUACCUGGCGUGGAUGACGGGACCGGAAGAAUAAGCACCGGCGAACUACGU